AUUGAACGCUGGCGGCAGGCCUAACACAUGCAAGUCGAACGGUAACAUGAAGAAGCUUGCUUCUUUGCUGACGAGUGGCGGACGGGUGGGUAAUGUCUGGGAAACUACCUGAUGGAGGGGGAUCACUACUGGAAACGUUAGCUAAUACCGCAUAACGUCGCCAGACCAAUGAGGGGGCCCUUCGGGCCUCUUGCCAUCGGAUGUGCACAGAUGGGAUGAGCUAGCAUGUGGGGUAACGGCUCUCCUAGGCGACGAUCCCUAGCUGGUCUGAGAGGAUGACCAGAUAGCCUGGAAGAGAGACACAGUCCAGACACCUACGGGAGGCAGCAGUGGAGAAUACUGCGCGAUGGACGAAAGCCUGAUGCAGCAAAGCGGCGGGUAGGAAGAACGACUUAGGGUUGUAGAGUGAUUUCAGCGGGGAGGAAGGAAGUAACGUUAACACCUGAGCUCAUUGACGUCACCCGCAGAAGAAGCACCGGCUAACUCCGUG
rnacentral:rRNA from 1 species